rnacentral:lncRNA from 1 species
ACCUUAUCCUUCUCAAGAUCAUGAACAACAUUAAAAUUCUGUUGCUGAAAGUUUCCAAAAAUAGACAUCCCAUUAGAUUUCCCCAUAGCCAAACACAAAACGCCCGUACUCGGAUCCUCCACCACGUAAUUCUCUCCGGGAAGCUCCAAAUCCGCACCCUUAAAAUGAAAAACAAGCUUAGGAACAGCUAAGUUCUUCGCCUCAUUAGGUAACGUAUAACACAAGUCAAGUCCUGUGGAUCCUGAUUCAUCUACUGGUAAACUCAUCCGAGAAGUAAACUCCCUCUUCAAGGUAUUAAACACAACCUCCUCUAGAUACGUGAUGGUAGUGCCAGAGUCUAUGAUCAUGCCUCCAGUUCCAUCUUCAGCUAGUUCUAACAUAGACUUUUCCAUAGAAAGACGUUUUGAUCCAACGGUGAUGCCUUGUAGGUCAAGGUAAUAGAACGAGGGCUGUCUAGGGUUUCGUAGCAAGGACGUGGUUUUGAUGAGUUCACCUUCUGACCUUCCACCGCUUUUCUUGACGAUCUCCGAGGCUAGAGAUCCAAUGAACAGCGAGCUAGACGCUUCGGUAUCAUCAAUGGUGGUUAAACAAUAAGAGAACUUAGCCUCCUUGAGCUGAGUUAUAAGCGAGAGCGGUCCACGACCAAGACCUACAAGACCCGACCCUUGUGAAAACCCGUCUCCUUCAUUCUCAUCACCACACCCAAACCCUAUUCCCGAAACCGAGUUUUCGCCACCGAAAGUGAACGUUUCCAUGGACAAGACCCCUCUUGUGGACGAGUAAUCUCCAUAGGUAUACAAAUACUCACAAGCUCCUCUGUCUUGGUUACAACUCGACCGAGGCAAGGCUUCACAAAGACCAGAAGAGCAUCCUACUUUUGAGUAAGAAGAAGACUUUUUCGGGUCGAAAAUAGGAGUUGGUUGGUGGUAACAAUCCGUGCAAGGCUUGCAUUGAGUCCAUAUAAGGUCACUUCCAGUAUCUAAUAUAGCCGAGUAUUUAACCGGAGGGUCUCCUAUAGCUAAAUCCAUAAGAAACUCGCCGCUUCCGCCAUGAGUAGGUGCUUUAAUGUUGUUAGUAUCAUCAGGACCUGAUGAUUCAGCCAAAACAGCUGCAGCUCCUAACCGGUUUAGCCUGUGGAAUCCACGGUUAAUACCUCUUUGGAUCUUUUGGAUCUUUGUGAGGUUUUUACCGGAAUCCACAUGUUGUAGACUUAAUCGUAAACCGGAUCUUGGAAGGAUUGUUGGAGGAGGAUGGUUGGUUAAUGAUUUUCUUGAUGAUGAAAGAGCGAUGAAACAUGAGAAGAUGAUAAGAAAGAAAGGGAGUAACAAGGAGGAAGAAGAAGUCAUGGUUUGUGUAUGUGUGAGUGGAUUGAUGUGAGAAUUAAAGAGUGUUAGUUACUGUUUAUAUAAAGAAGUUUUCGGACACAAGAGAAAGAGUUAGAGAGUAAAGUUCGGCGUGUAGGAAAACAGACAUUGUAACUUUUUCCUACUUAAACUGAGGAGAUGCUGUUUGAGAGAUCCAUUCAAACAAGCAAGGCCUAUUCUUCCUCUCGUUAAUUGAGAAAACUUCGAAACUAUUUUUUCUCACCUAAAUCUGUUGAUAAAAAACAAGCAAUUACUAUAUGGGCUCAUUGUUAACUAGAUGAAUGACAAAUCUAUAUUAGUUUUUACUCACUACUCAGCAUGGGUUCCACCUCUGUUUAUUUUUUUAAAAAUAUAUUUAUGCUACUUUAAAUUAAAGCCCUUUUUUUUGUAUUUAAAAGAAGAAAACGUUUGUGGUAAAGAAAAUGAAGAAAACGUUUUGCAAAGGUACAAAUUUUUCACUUUUCUUCUCCUUAUUCUGACGGUCAUUCUUCUAUUUCCCAUACAUUUUCUCAAAUCUACAAACCCUACCUUUCCAGAAUCCUAUUGGUAAUCGAAAAUCUUCGCAAUCAGCCUCAGAAAUCCAAACGUGCCAUCCAACGUUCUAUAGGUGUUGUUUUAUGUUUUUCUUCUUACCUUGAGAUGAAUUUCUUAGUCCUUUUCAAUUGAUGAGAUUUUGAAAUACGUAAUGAAGUAUAUGUUGAUUAUCUUAUUUAGAAGCACAAACCCAUAUUGUGGAUUAAAAAAAUUGUCAGGGGAGGGGAAACCCAAGAGAAUCACCCGUUAGUGGUAUGUCGAUCAUGUUUCAUAUGAGACAUAUCUUUCGACAAUGAUUUGUUUGAAAUCUUCCUAUAUAACCUUCUUUUUUCGUUGUAGGAAAUCAAAAACUGGAUUUAGGGUAAAGAAAUAAAAAUAGUCUUCGAAAACUGGAAGAGAUAACAAACCAGAAUAGGCUGUAAAGGUACAUAUAUUAUUACUAUAUUCAACUUGAAUAGUUUCUCAUAUCUUCAUGUUCGUCUUUAUUUCAAGAAUUCGGGUGUUUUGCAUUACUUAGUCACUGAGAAACUGAUUUGUUCAACUGUUAAAUCUUUUUUUCUUUGUCUAUGCUCAAGUUUUCACAUGUUCAAACCUGAUUCUUAAUCUUGAUUUGAUUUAUUUCCGAGUUUGACUGAAUAGUUCAUAAUCUUGGUUUCAUUCCACGGAUUCAGAUCUUAUGUAGUUUUAAAUCUGACAGUCUUCUUCCUCUUACAGCUGUACUUACAGCUGAGUUUCUCUUCAUGCGAACCCUUAACCACUCCUCUGCAAAUGGCUGCCUCCGAUGGAAUUUUCGCUGAACUUGCUGCGCAGCACACAACCUUUUGACGAUCUUGGCCUUGGUCGGGCCUCUCAGGUAAUCACCUUUCCCUUAUCUUCAUGGCUUGAACAGUUAUUUGAACCUAAAAAUCAUCUUCAUCAUAUCUCCCUACAGUUUUGUCGUUGUGUAUGUGUCACUAUGGGACGCCUCUUUCGCAACUUUUAGGGGGCAUCUGAGCUUAUGCGAUAUUACACACUCUGUCAUGCUGGACACCACGGUUAGUUCCAAGUUAUAUUUUGACUUGAACGUUUACGCCAGCCAAGCUUUCAUCAACAGGUAUGUCGCAAGUCUCACUCAAAAAUACAUGACCAAUCAUUUAUGUAAAAGUGUAUAACAUAUGGUUCCAUGCUAUAUUUUGUUUUUAAACCUUCAUGUCUGUCCAUAUUGCAAUUUAUAUUAACAUGGUUCUGAUAACUAUCUAUAUGGACAGUGACAUUAAAUAUAUGUCUUUUGUAAUGAUAUUACAAAAAAAAAUGUGUCAUCCUCAUUUUGACCUUAUCCUUCUCAAGAUCAUGAACAACAUUAAAAUUCUGUUGCUGAAAGUUUCCAAAAAUAGACAUCCCAUUAGAUUUCCCCAUAGCCAAACACAAAACGCCCGUACUCGGAUCCUCCACCACGUAAUUCUCUCCGGGAAGCUCCAAAUCCGCACCCUUAAAAUGAAAAACAAGCUUAGGAACAGCUAAGUUCUUCGCCUCAUUAGGUAACGUAUAACACAAGUCAAGUCCUGUGGAUCCUGAUUCAUCUACUGGUAAACUCAUCCGAGAAGUAAACUCCCUCUUCAAGGUAUUAAACACAACCUCCUCUAGAUACGUGAUGGUAGUGCCAGAGUCUAUGAUCAUGCCUCCAGUUCCAUCUUCAGCUAGUUCUAACAUAGACUUUUCCAUAGAAAGACGUUUUGAUCCAACGGUGAUGCCUUGUAGGUCAAGGUAAUAGAACGAGGGCUGUCUAGGGUUUCGUAGCAAGGACGUGGUUUUGAUGAGUUCACCUUCUGACCUUCCACCGCUUUUCUUGACGAUCUCCGAGGCUAGAGAUCCAAUGAACAGCGAGCUAGACGCUUCGGUAUCAUCAAUGGUGGUUAAACAAUAAGAGAACUUAGCCUCCUUGAGCUGAGUUAUAAGCGAGAGCGGUCCACGACCAAGACCUACAAGACCCGACCCUUGUGAAAACCCGUCUCCUUCAUUCUCAUCACCACACCCAAACCCUAUUCCCGAAACCGAGUUUUCGCCACCGAAAGUGAACGUUUCCAUGGACAAGACCCCUCUUGUGGACGAGUAAUCUCCAUAGGUAUACAAAUACUCACAAGCUCCUCUGUCUUGGUUACAACUCGACCGAGGCAAGGCUUCACAAAGACCAGAAGAGCAUCCUACUUUUGAGUAAGAAGAAGACUUUUUCGGGUCGAAAAUAGGAGUUGGUUGGUGGUAACAAUCCGUGCAAGGCUUGCAUUGAGUCCAUAUAAGGUCACUUCCAGUAUCUAAUAUAGCCGAGUAUUUAACCGGAGGGUCUCCUAUAGCUAAAUCCAUAAGAAACUCGCCGCUUCCGCCAUGAGUAGGUGCUUUAAUGUUGUUAGUAUCAUCAGGACCUGAUGAUUCAGCCAAAACAGCUGCAGCUCCUAACCGGUUUAGCCUGUGGAAUCCACGGUUAAUACCUCUUUGGAUCUUUUGGAUCUUUGUGAGGUUUUUACCGGAAUCCACAUGUUGUAGACUUAAUCGUAAACCGGAUCUUGGAAGGAUUGUUGGAGGAGGAUGGUUGGUUAAUGAUUUUCUUGAUGAUGAAAGAGCGAUGAAACAUGAGAAGAUGAUAAGAAAGAAAGGGAG